rnacentral:lncRNA from 1 species
GGAGUGUGUUACUAGCGGACUGAGUCUCAUUAGUAGUUAGCUUGUCCUGGGGUGUCUGUGGGGACAUGGUGGGUGUCGGCUGGCUGGAGGAUGGGGAAGAGGAGGUGGAGGAAGUGGAGGAGGAAUGGCUUUGCUGUAAGAGAUCUGGCAAGAGGUGAAUGCGACCGGCAAAGCCAUUGCUCUCAUGAUGGCUGGCACGCUUUUUGUCAACUGUACUCUGUAGAGAAA